GAGACUGAUACUAGCUUGCUAGUAGGCGUGCGAGUGGCGGACGGGUGAGUAACGCGUAGGAAUCUACCUGAUAGUGGGGGAUAGCCCGAAGAAAUUCGGAUUAAUACCGCAUAAUCUAUUCGUAGUAAAGUGGGGGACUUUCGAGCCUCACGCUAUCAGAUGAGCCUGCGUAAGAUUAGCUAGUUGGUAGGGUAAAAGCCUACCAAGGCUACGAUCUUUAGCUGGUCUGAGAGGAUGAUCAGCCACAUCGGGACUGAGACACGGCCCGAACUCCUACGGGAGGCAGCAGUGGGGAAUAUUGGACAAUGGGGGCAACCCUGAUCCAGCAAUACCGCGUGUGUGAAGAAGGCCUGAGGGUUGUAAAGCACUUUCAAUUGUGAAGAAAAGCUAGUGGUUAAUAGCCAUUAGCCUUGACGUUAACUUUAGAAGAAGCACCGGCUAACUCCGUGCCAGCAGCCGCGGUAAUACGGAGGGUGCAAGCGUUAAUCGGAAUUACUGGGCGUAAAGCGUGCGUAGGCGGUUUAUUAAGUCAGAUGUGAAAGCCCCGGGCUUAACCUGGGAACUGCAUUUGAAACUGGUCAACUAGAGUAUGGUAGAGGAAAGUGGAAUUUCUGGUGUAGCGGUGAAAUGCGUAGAUAUCAGAAGGAACAUCAAUGGCGAAGGCAACUUUCUGGACCAAUACUGACGCCGAGGUACGAAAC
rnacentral:rRNA from 1 species